rnacentral:rRNA from 1 species
AUGAGAGCGUCCGGUGGCGGCGGCGGCGAGAAGCUGAGCGGUGGCUUACGAUCCCAUGGAGUAGGCGUCGACGCCGACGGGUUCGUGGGCGGCGGUGGGCCUGGAGAACCUAGCGCCAGGGUCACUGCAGUUCUUGACUUCGGUGGCAAGAAGGAGUGGGCUGGGGAAAGGGAUGGCAGAGCAAUGAAGUUGGAGGCCAGGAUUAAGGAUCUAGCCAUGAAGAACAUGGAGUUGGAGGCCAGGAUUAAAGUACUUGAAGCAGAAACUAAAAGAAAUGAGAAAGAAAAGAGAGCAAUUGUCAAGAUGCAGAAGCAAAGAGAGCAAUUUAGGGAUAAGAUUUUUUGUUUUGGAGCUCUUCUGUAUGUUGGUCUGUUUGCCAUUCUGCUAGCUGUCAUUGUUAGCAAGUAG